GACGAACGCUGGCGGCGUGCUUAACACAUGCAAGUCGAACGAUGAAGUUCCUUCGGGAAUGGAUUAGUGGCGAACGGGUGAGGAACACGUGAGAAACCUGCCUUUCAUUUUGGGAUAACUCCGGGAAACCGGGGCUAAAACCGAAUACUCCGUCUCGGCGGCAUCGCUGAGCCGGGAAAAAAUUUUGAUGAAAAGAUGGUCUCGCGGCCUAUCAGCUAGUUGGUGAGGUAAUGGCUCACCAAGGCAAUGACGGGUAGCCGGGCUGAGAGGGCGACCGGCCACCCUGGGACUGAGACACGGCCCAGACUCCUACGGGAGGCAGCAGUGGGGAAUAUUGGGCAAUGGGCGCAAGCCUGACCCAGCGACGCCGCGUGAGGGAUGAAGGCCUUCGGGUUGUAAACCUCUUUCAGUAGGGAAGAAGCGAAAGUGACGGUACCUAAAGAAGAAGCACCGGCUAACUAUGUGCCAGCCGCCGCCGUAA
rnacentral:rRNA from 1 species